rnacentral:tRNA from 1 species
CGGGUGUAGCUCAGUCGGUUAGAGCGCUAGAUUGUGGAUCUAGAGGUCGUGGGUUCGAUUCCCAUCACU